CCCCUCUCAGGAUCACAACUGGAGAGUUUCCAGUACUCUACCAGUCUCUGCUAUGGGAGGGAGAGUCAAGCAGAGACAAAUCCAUUCCAUUCCUAGCUAGGCAGCGGCUAGCAAGUGGAAGGCAAUCUGCUACCAGU